UACAGAGGGUGCAAGCGUUAAUCGGAAUUACUGGGCGUAAAGCGCACGUAGGCGGUUCAGUAAGUUGGAUGUGAAAUCCCCGGGCUCAACCUGGGAACUGCAUUUGUGACUGCAAGGCUAGAGUACGGCAGAGGGUGGUGGAAUUUCCUGUGUAGCGGUGAAAUGCGUAGAUAUAGGAAGGAACACCAGUGGCGAAGGCGACCACCUGGACUGAUACUGACACUGAGGUGCGAAAGCGUGGGGAGCAAACAGG
rnacentral:rRNA from 1 species